rnacentral:rRNA from 1 species
AUUGAACGCUGGCGGCAGGCCUAACACAUGCAAGUCGAGCGGAUGAAGGGAGCUUGCUCCUGGAUUCAGCGGCGGACGGGUGAGUAAUGCCUAGGAAUCUGCCUGGUAGUGGGGGAUAACGUCCGGAAACGGGCGCUAAUACCGCAUACGUCCUGAGGGAGAAAGUGGGGGAUCUUCGGACCUCACGCUAUCAGAUGAGCCUAGGUCGGAUUAGCUAGUUGGUAGGGUAAAGGCCUACCAAGGCGACGAUCCGUAACUGGUCUGAGAGGAUGAUCAGUCAAAGUGGAAUGGAGAACCGGCCCGGCACCCCACGGGGGGAGGCAGGGGGGAUAUUUGAAAAUGGGCGGAAACCUGAAACCAGCCUGGCGGGGGGGGGAAAAAAAGUUUUCGGUUUGUAAAGCUUUUUAAGGUGGGGGAAAGGGCAAUAAUUUAAUACCUUCCUGUUUUGACGUUACCAACAAAACAAGCAACGGCUAACUUCGU